GAGAGCAUUGAUCUGCUGAGUGGACUAAAGAUGGGGGAACAAGUCUACAGUCCAUGAGGACCUGUGUUGCUGGUAGGAGAGACUGGAUCUCUGAGGUGACUGGUCACCAAACCUUGCCCCAGAUCAGAACACUGGAUCAAGAGCCGUCAUGGUUCCUUCUUGAGUCGGAACCAGGACCCAACCCCGAGGGACAGAGACUCCACCACCACACAGAAGACAACCAGUGGACGGGUGGACUGAACAACCUCAGUCCUGGUGGUCAUCAGAGAGACAGAGGCUCCAGUCAGGGAUCCAGUCCGCAGCCCAGAACCUUCUCUUCACAGUCUCAGUGCAGGGAUGAAGCAGGGCCUGGGGCUGAUAGAGAUAGAUCAUCCUGUUCCUAUGAUACAAACACCACAGUAUCCAUGAUGAACAGAGCAGGUCACCCUGGGCUUUAGCCUUCACAGAGAGCGGUGGGAGACGCCCCUGGUGGUAGUAUAUCAGCAAGUCUGUCUUCUCCUUCAGGGUCUCGUCUAAAGCCUGGUGACAGGGUUCAUAGACAGCCUGGACCUGGGUCUAGCUUACCUGGUCAUGGUUUCCCCAUGAAUACAGACAGGGUCAGGAUGGGCAUUCAUCACGAGAGGUACCUAACCUAUAACAAUCCCAACAACACCCAAACAAUGGCUAGAGAUCAAGGAUGGAUCUCAAAGACUCACCACCUGAGGGUGGUGGGUCCUGCUUCUACCUCAUCUGGUGUCAUUGGGUAACAACAUGAGUGGCCGAGUGUUAGGACGGACGCCGACAAGUCCUACUCCUUUCCCACGUGUGGGAAGUGGUUCACUAGGGCAAACUAUUUGAAGGAGCAUCAGACAUUUCACACCAAGGAGAGGCCCUUCAAGUGCAAACUGUUACAAGAGCUUCUCUUUCCUGACUAACCUUACCAGACAUAAGAGUGUCCACAACGGGAAGAAUUCGUAGCAGUGUGGCUUGAGAUGUACACAGGAGAUUUCUGGGAACCAUUCUUUAGAAUGGUUAUAUUCUGGUUGUAUAUAUUAUAGUUAUUGUGUGAAGUGUCUUGGGAUAAGAGGGUAAUUAACCACAUACCCCUCAUUAUAACCCUUUGGUAACUUGUCAUUUGAAACAGGCUUGUGUAAAUACCUGUUUUCAGAGAGACAGUAAACCUAGGCUAAAACAAGGACAGUUUAAUAUUUACCUUACUGGAGGUGAUGUAGAUGGAAUAAAGUCAUUCUAUUCUUUUCUACUCUAUCCUUA